CAGGCCAUGGGAAGACAUUACCUGUUGAUAACACAGACUAUUCUCAUGAUCAUGGGAGGUGUGAGAGAAUUGCUGCUCUUUGUGAUGACUGUGGGGGUUGUCAAAGUUUCUUGUUACCCUGUUGGAAAGUCCCAGAAGCAAGAUCAAGUCUCUCUGCAGAGGAGACUUGGAGAGCUGUCAUCAAAUGACGUCUCCAUUGAGCAUGCCCUGGCCUUGCUCCGAUCCAUAGGGUCUGACGCUAAACAAGACAGAGAAGAGUAUUUAGAGACUAACGAAGUAGAAUCCCAAGCUUCUCCAAACCAUGGUAGCUCUCAGGCAAAUGAUGCCCUGUCCUCUGAGGAGAAGCUGAGGCGCAUGUCCUCUGACGACGCUGCGACUGGCCCGUCUGACGACGCUACCUCUGAAGCUGCGACUGGCCCGUCUGACGACGCUACCUCUGAAGCUGCGACUGGCCCGUCUGACGACGCUACCUCUGAAGCUGCGACUGGCCCGUCUGACGACGCUACCUCUGAAGCUGCGACUGGCCCGUCUGACGACGCUACCUCUGAAGCUGCGACUGGCCCGUCUGACGACGCUACCUCUGAAGCUGCGACUGGCCCGUCUGACGACGCUACCUCUGAAGCUGCGACUGGCCCCUGCGACUGGCCCCCGUCUGACCCUGACGCUACCUCUGAAGCUGCGACUGGCCCCGUCUGACCCGACGCUACCUCUGAAGCUGCGACUGGCCCCCGUCUGACGAUCGCUACCUCUGAAGCUGCGACUGGCCCCCUGCGACUGGCCCCGUCUGACGACGCUACCUCUGAAGCUGCGACUGGCCCCGUCUGACGACGCUACCUCUGAAGCUGCGACUGGCCCGUCUGACGACGCUACCUCUGAAGCUGCGACUGGCCCGUCUGACGACGCUACCUCUGAAGCUGCGACUGGCCCGUCUGACGACGCUACCUCUAAGGAACUGCGCAUGUCCUCUGACGACGCUGCGACUGGCCCGUCUGACGACGCUACCUCUGAAGCUGCGACUGGCCCGUCUGACGACGCUACCUCUGAAGCUGCGACUGGCCCGUCUGACGACGCUACCUCUGAAGCUGCGACUGGCCCGUCUGACGACGCUACCUCUGAAGCUGCGACUGGCCCGUCUGACGACGCUACCUCUGAAGCUGCGACUGGCCCGUCUGACGCACGCUACCUCUGAAGCUGCGACUGGCCCGUCUGACGACGCUACCUCUGAAGCUGCGACUGGCCCGUCUGACGACGCUACCUCUGAAGCUGCGACUGGCCCGUCUGACGACGCUACCUCUGAAGCUGCGACUGGCCCGUCUGACGACGCUACCUCUGAAGCUGCGACUGGCCCGUCUGACGACGCUACCUCUGAAGCUGCGACUGGCCCCGUCUGACGACGCUACCUCUGAAGCUGCGACUGGCCCGUCUGACGACGCUACCUCUGAAGCUGCGACUGGCCCCCUGCGACUGGCCCCGUCUGACGACGCUACCUCUGAAGCUGCGACUGGCCCGUCCGACGCCGCUACCUCUGAAGCUGCGACUGGCCCGUCUGACGCACGCUACCUCUGAAGCUGCGACUGGCCCGUCUGACGACGCUACCUCUGAAGCUGCGACUGGCCCGUCUGACGACGCUACCUCUGAAGCUGCGACUGGCCCCCGUCUGACGACGCUACCUCUGAAGCUGCGACUGGCCCGUCUGACGACGCUACCUCUGAAGCUGCGACUGGCCCCCGUCUGACGACGCUACCUCUGAAGCUGCGACUGGCCCGUCUGACGACGCUACCUCUGAAGCUGCGACUGGCCCCGUCUGACGACGCUACCUCUGAAGCUGCGACUGGCCCGUCUGACGACGCUACCUCUAAGGAACUGUUCACCGCUUCAUCGGAGCCCCCGUUGACCACAAACAUGGAUAUCUGACGUGGGACAUGCAAGAGUUCAUGGGUACUCUAGUCCAGGUUGUCUGUGUGUGUAACUGCAUUUGCUUGUUUUGGCUCAAUUAAACAUUAACUGUAA